UACGUAGGUGGCAAGCGUUGUCCGGAUUUACUGGGCGUAAAGAGCGCGCAGGCGGUCGUUCAAGUCGCGUGUGAAAGCCCCCGGCUCAACUGGGGAGGGUCACGCGAUACUGCUCGACUCGAAGGCAGGAGAGGGAAGUGGAAUUCCCGGUGUAGUGGUGAAAUGCGUAGAUAUUCGGAAGAACACCAGUGGCGAAGGCGACUUACUGGACGAUUGUUGACGCUGAGGUGCGAAAGCGUGGGGAGCAAACAGG
rnacentral:rRNA from 1 species